UACGGAGGGUGCGAGCGUUGUCCGGAAUCACUGGGCGUAAAGGGCGCGUAGGUGGCGCGGGAAGUCAACGGUGAAAGCUCAGGGCUCAACCCUGAGUCGGCCGUCGAUACUCCCGGGCUCGAGCACUGUAGAGGCAGGUGGAAUUCCGGGUGUAGCGGUGGAAUGCGUAGAGAUCCGGAAGAACACCGGUGGCGAAGGCGGGUCUCUGGGCAGUAACUGACGCUGAGGAGCGAAAGCGUGGGGAGCGAACAGG
rnacentral:rRNA from 1 species